GACGAACGCUGGCGGCGUGCCUAACACAUGCAAGUCGAGCGAUGCGAUCCUUCGGGAUCAAUUAGCGGCGGACGGGUGAGUAACACGUGGGUAACCUGCCUCAAAGAGGGGAAUAGCCUCCCGAAAGGGAGAUUAAUACCGCAUAAUAUGUUUUGAUCGCAUGAUCUUAACAUCAAAGGAAUUUUUCGGAAUUCCACUUUGAGAUGGACCCGCGGCGCAUUAGCUAGUUGGUGAGGUAAAGGCCCACCAAGGCAACGAUGCGUAGCCGACCUGAGAGGGUGAUCGGCCACAUUGGAACUGAGACACGGUCCAGACUCCUACGGGAGGCAGCAGUGGGGAAUAUUGCGCAAUGGGGGAAACCCUGACGCAGCAACGCCGCGUGAAUGAUGAAGGCCUUCGGGUUGUAAAGUUCUGUCUUCUGGGACGAUAAUGACGGUACCAGAG
rnacentral:rRNA from 1 species